rnacentral:lncRNA from 1 species
CACCAAUAACUCGAGACAAGCCCUAAGGGAGGAGGAAAGAGAACACUCUCUAUUCUUUUGGCUCUCAUUCUCUUUUUUCUCUAUUAUUUUUAAAGCUCCGGCUAACUUAAGCAUCAAAAAUUCCCCCACCAAAACAUCCCCGAUGUGUGUAGACUUUCUUUACAGAUACUCCCUAGCAUCAUAGAUCAUGGAUGAUGUCUAACUCCAACCA